rnacentral:tRNA from 1 species
GCGGGUUUAGCUCAGUGGUAGAGCACAUGCUUAGCAUGCACGAGGUCCUGGGUUCAAUUCCCUAGUCCCUCC